GGAAAUACCAGAACAGCAAUCGGUUCCAACCUUUGUGUUCCCUUCUGGAGUGCAUGCCUUUCUGGCCAUCGGGGGCACUAUAAUGCAGUCAUACAAAUGUGCGGGUGUGGCUGUGGGUGCGGGUGCGUGCGGCAAAUAGAAGUUAGAAUUCCCAAACAAGCACAACAAACCAAUGACAAGACCUUUGUUUUACAAUCGUUUUAUUUUAAUUUAUUUGAAAACACGCAAAUGUACCCAUAUUAUCCUUUUUAAGAUGUUUUUUUUUGAAGCAGUUUUUUUUCCCUUUCCGUUUUCAAAGUCUCCACAAGAGCAAAACUUUAAAAAAAACAAACAAAAAAAUACCACACCCCCCCAAAAAAAGUCCUCCACAGGCUCUCUGGCUUCUGCAGUGGGAGGAGGGGCAAAAGAGGCUCUCUGAGUAGACGUUUUGCGCGUGGGCAUUUCCCUCGUCUAUUUGGUGCGUCGAUGAAAGCAUGCGCGUGUGUGUACGAGGUGGAAUGGUCAACUGAUAUAUCACAUAACCCAUAGAGCAGCAAGGAGAGCUGAACAUUGUCUUCUCGGUUUGCUCGCCGAUUGUCAUACCCUCUGUUUUCAUCUUUGGUUUCAAAAGGCCGACAUUGCCCUCUCCCUCUGUGUGUGUGUGUGUGUGUGUGUGUGUGUGUGUGUGUGUGUGUGUGUGUGUGUUUGUCAGUGCAAUACAAGCCACCAUCUCCACACCACUUUGUAAACGUAGAAAUGCGAUGCAAGCGUCUUUGCGCUGAUUGUGUGUGGCCCUUCCUUGGCACUAUGGGUGGGGGUGUGUGUGUGGCGGGGUUGGGGGGGGUGCUUGCAAAGACGAUGGGACAUCGCUAACAACAAAUGGAAAAUGGCAGACUCCAUUUUGUGUCGGUGGCAGUUUUUGUGUGACAUCAGUACAAAGCCGCCCCCGCCCGGCCACUCGCUACUUUAGUGGCAAGGGGGCGCUCUGCUGCCCGCUGUGGUUGGAUGGUAAAAGAUGUGGGGAGGUGUUUAGGGGGAAAUGAUAUUUGAGGGGUAGGAGUGGGGUUCUACACUCUGACCCAGCAGCAACGAUUAAGAUUGGGUAGGGUCAGGUGAUUGCAUAGUUCUGUGUGCAAAAGCCACCAACCGGAGCCUUUUUAUGAUUCAUUUUUUUCCCCCCUAUCAGCAGGACGCAAGUGGCGGGUGAUCGGAUGCAUGGUCACUGCACCACAACACUCCUGCGGUGCACUACGCUGUGAGUGUGGGAGGGGGUGCAAAUUUUUUUUUUUUUUUUUUUUUUACACUUAUUUCUCGGAUUUUGUUGGCAUGCGGAGGGAACGUAUCGCCAGGUGUUUGACAGUCGGACACAGCAGCCCGUCAUGACUCAGACAGCCUCUUUUUUUCCCCCCGUGAUUUUAUUCAGUCCUUGCCCUCCCCCUUUUGUCCGUCCUCACUGGCCUGCCCCUCUCUCUCUCUCUCUCUCACUACCUUUUUUGUUUUGAAACUGAUUGUCUUCUACCAUCACAAAGACACUUGGUUCUGAUUGAUUAAUUAACAGGUAACAAAAGAGGGAGAGCACAGUGUGACUGGGGAGGGGGAGCAUCGACGUCGGCGGGCCCCCCCCCGACCCCCGCAUCCCGUCGACCGAGCGACCAAUCCCGUGGAAGCGAAACGACAUGCACGUGAGGCUGUUUGACAGUAAAUGCCGAGGUCAUCGCCCUCACGGGAUUGAUCGUCCGCCGUCGCUUGUUUUUGGUCAAGAAAUGGUUUUGGCAUGACAGAUAUUGCAACCCAUACUUUAAAAGAACAUGAGAAACACUUGGUCGUUCACAAAGAUACAAACACACGCACUCCGAACACAGAUCGAAGAGAAGCACGCGGACAGAUGAAGCGAAUUCAGGGGUCGGCUCGAGCCUGUGUGCGUCCCUCUGAUUAACUCCAAGUGAACAGCCUUGUCUUUGGAAAAGCAGGACGCACAAAUCGGCAGGACACGAGCCAGACGACCGCCAAAAGCUGAGGAAUGAAUGCAAUUGAUUGGGAGGCGAGGAGUUUGACCUCCCCAAGCGCACACUGCCCCCUACUGUCUGGAGUUAUAUACAUCAAAGAAACAUGAGGGGGGAGGGUUGCAACAACACAUGCACACAACCAGUGACGGAAAGUCUAAAAAUGACGACCCCCUCCAAUGCUGAAAACCCAAAUCUUUGUCUGUUUUCUGUUGUUUAUUUGUUUUUGUUUUUUGUUUUUUUAAAGCGAACCAAAAUAUUCCCACCCUCUCCCAGGUCUUUCCUUUUCUCCUCCUCCCACACAAAAUCACAGGUCGUUCCUGUUGGUUUCUAUACAGUUAUACAAUAUCCAUGCACAAAAGGAACAACAACAACAAAAAAAAAGGACCACCUUUUCAACUAAAGGUGUUGGUCUUCGUUAUUCUCUAAGAACAUCAGGAGUACUUGAACACACCCACAAAAGUAAUUCCAACCCCACCCGAGAGAAAAGACAACUUAAGGGACAGAAGAAAGCCAACAAGAGUGAGAUAUUCUCCUUUGGUUUGUUAAUCGAUUUGGUUUGCAAAAGAACAUUUUCACGCGUAUGGCAGACCACUUUGGCGUCGUCUUACUCAACCUAGCUUCACUUCAGUUGUCAGUACUUGCUCAUCACUGGACUGCGCAAUUGUUUGAGUUCCAAUUGGCAUCAUAUAAAAUAAAGAAGGCGCAUAGCAUGCGAAACAGAAAGCCACAGAUUGCGUCGAAGCAAAAUUGUGACACGGAAAAAACAUAGGGAAAUACCACCUGUUCGAAGGCAUUUAAAAUUUACAUUUUUCAGCAAAAUUUGCUGUUUGGCCUUGGCAGAGGUUUGGUAAAUUUUUCACAGGCGCCAAAAACAUUUAAAAGAGAAAUGGGUUCCCCAACAACAAUGUACUGUUUCCCUAAAUUGUUGCAACCAAAAAAAUAGUCUACCCACCCCCCCCCAAAAAAAUCUUACUUUUUUGUGCUAUCUUUGAAGUAGGACAGCAGGAAGUGAAGAAAGAUAAUUGCAGGACGACACGGGACGCAAGUGGUCUCAAAUUGUGUGAAAAUUGGCUCUCUCAAUGCCUAAUCUUGUUUCUUUUUAUUCCAAUGUUUUGUAACAUGGCUCGGAACGAAACAUCUUUCUUCUCUUCUGUCUCUUUUGUGGCCCUCCACAGAUUCCACACAUUCACCGUGUCUUUUCCUUUUUUAUGAAAAACAAGUACAUGCCGUAGCAAAAAUCAGCAAACGUACGAGGAGGAAAAAAAAUGAGCAAAAGAAAUUCUUUUGUUGUUGUUGUUGUUGUUUUUUAACAGUAUAAAGCUUCAAGUCACAAGUUCCAAAACUAACUAUCAUAGUGUCAUAGUUUCAUAAUCAUCGUUUAUCAUUAGCAGUAUUAUUUUCAGUUUUUAAAUUACAUAAAGUUUACAUGAAAGGUUUUUGAGGUAUUUCAGAAUUAAUUGUCAAACACAUGCCUACCGGCUCUUAGCGCUUGCCGAGGGGGGGUCGGGGGGUGGUGUAUGGAUGGACAAGGUCAAAGGGGGGGGAGGGAGGCUGUUUGGCUGUUUUUGUGAGUCUUCCACACUUUUAACAGUGCAGCCUCUGUGCUUGCACAAGUGGAGUGAGAUGAUGAGCUAAGAUAACACCAAGUACAAAAGCCCUCUGGGCGCCCGGCACCUCUUGCCUUUCUUUUUUGCCUCCCUCUGUCUCUGUUACACAAAAAUAUCUCUGAUGCGAGAGAGGCAAAAAAAAAAAACAAACAAACAAACAAAAAAAUAAAAGACCCUCUCUCCUCAAAAAAAAAAAGUCAGCGAACCACACCGGGCGGGAGGGGCAGAGCGGGAGCUUAAGAACACAAAAAGAAUGUGACAGACGAAGGAGCUAACAUAUCAUUUCGAUUGAAAUAAAUAGCGUAGAGAGAUUGUUUUAUAGACUUUCUACAUGAUAAAGUGCUUGUAUUCGAGUGUAUCAAGAUGGAAAGUCAAUACGGGAGAAAAUGCUGACGUAAGCCUGUGUCCGUCUCCCGCGUCCCCUCCCCCUUUACUGUCCAUCCAAUUAUGGGCGCAUUGUUUUGGGGGUGAGGAGUGGGGGGGUUGUCGGGGAGGGCUUGCUAUCCACCUACGUGUGUGUGUGUGUGUGUGUGUGCGCGCGAGAGCGUUGUAUGGGGUUUGUUUAUGUGUCCAGUGCAGUCCCACCCGUGGUUGAAGGGAAAAGGCACUCAACUCUGUCCUGCAAGAUGGCCACCUCCUCCGAACGUGGCCAGCUGCAGUCUGACUGCGCUGUUACGACCAACACGUAUCGUUGUGUGUAGGACGGUCCAGGCCCGGAUGGGGCUCUCAAUGCCAGUUUGCUACGCCUGCUCGCCCAGGCCUGGAUUGCCCCCUCCC